CAUGCAAGUCGAGGGGUAACGUGUUGGAAGCUUGCUUCCGAUGACGACGACCGGCGGAUGGGUGCGUAACGCGUAUGCAACUUGCCUCACAGUGGAGAAUAACCCGGAGAAAUCCGGACUAAUGUUCCAUACACUCUUAAGUACGCCUGUACAUGAGAGGAAAGAUUUAUCGCUGUGAGAUAGGCAUGCGUCCUAUUAGGUAGUUGGUGAGGUAACGGCUCACCAAGCCGACGAUAGGUAGGGGUGCUGAGAGGCAGAUCCCCCACAUUGGGACUGAGACACGGCCCAAACUCCUACGGGAGGCAGCAGUGAGGAAUAUUGGUCAAUGGAGGAAACUCUGAACCAGCCAAGUCGCGUGAAGGAAGAAUGUCCUAAGGAUUGUAAACUUCUUUAGCGAGCGAGUAAGGACUUCCACGUGAUGGGAGUUUGAAAGUAGCUCGAGAAUAAGUAUCGGCUAACUCCGUGCCAGCAGCCGCGGUAAUACGGAGGAUACGAGCGUUAUCCGGAUUUAUUGGGUUUAAAGGGUGCGCAGGUGGUCUUGCAAGUCAGUGGUGAAAAGCUGAGGCUCAACCUCAGCCUUGCCGUUGAAACUGUAAGACUUGAGAGUACAUGAUGUGGGCGGAAUGCGUAGUGUAGCGGUGAAAUGCAUAGAUAUUACGCAGAACUCCGAUUGCGAAGGCAGCUCACAAAGGUAUAUCUGACACUGAGGCACGAAAGCGUGGGGAGCGAACAGGAUUAGAUACCCUGGUAGUCCACGCC
rnacentral:rRNA from 1 species